CCUGGCUCCCUCCUCCCUCCUUUCCAGAAGCUGCGGCCCCUCCGCAACCGGGGCCAGGACGCGGGCGCCGAGGCUGUAGCUACCCCAUCCCCAGCCAGGCCACAGCCUCCGCGUCAUCCCGGCUCAGCUCGCUCUUCCGCAGGAGCCGGGAGAAAGUCCGCCCCGCGGGGCGAGCGGCCCACCCCGCUGCGGAGCUCCCCACGCGCGCAGCCGCCAGCAAAAAAGAAACCUGACCCAAAAACGAAAGUAGCCGGCGGGAGUUGACGGAGGAAACGCAGGUAGCGCCGGGGCAGAACGGCCCUGGGUGGGUCUGAAGGAGGCGUCUGUACCUGAAUGAGGAACAGCCUGCGGGUGCUUCUCAGCUGGAGCGCGCAUCCGGUCGAUGCAGAAAUUGUUCUGGAGCCACAUGCUUCUGAAACUCUUCCCAGGUAAAGGAGUGUGGAAGUGGAUUCCUUGCUUGGACUUGAAGAUCAUGGUCCCAGCUGGCACUUGGAUUGCAGCCUUGUGAAACAACCUCAAGCAGAGGAUUCAGAAAAGCUGUGACCUAAUUAAAGAAACUGAGACAAUAAAGUCUUGAAUCUGCA